UUUAUUACAAAAUAAUUUAAACCAACUUCAUUUUUUAAGAUAGAAAACUAUUUGUAAUGACUUGUACAGGCAGUUUGAUUGCUUACAAAUUGAAGGCAUGAACUGGACCUAAGUUUUUAAGUUAAAUUAGCUGGAAAGCUUUCACAGUGUGGAGGGAUGGAUACAAAAUUUCCUAAAAAUCAUUUUAUUUGCAUGAUAUUAUAUUAUGCAGCUAUUCAGCAUAAUCUGUUGGAGACAAUUACAAUUUGAUAACUAGUAUUUGUAAACGCUGAAAUUAUAGCAUCCCACUGUAACAGUGAUUUUAUAGUGACUUCAUAUUGAUUCAGUUCCACAGUUAAGCAGGGAUUAAGUUUUAAUUUUAGUUUUAAGUACAGAGUUUAAUUUCAAAUGUAUCCUCGUUUUAACGUGACGCUGCUUACAUCCUUGUGUACAAAACACACAUCAGGACUUCAGUCAGUCCAGUGUUAUCAUGCAUGCAUGUGAAAUGAAUCCACACUGAUGUCAAACACCUCGGAUUCAGUCCAUAAAAACAGAGCGAGCCAUCAGUCACAUGAAUCAGGUUCCGCCUCGUUCCUAAUCUGCGAGAUUAUCGCACAGCCAGCGAGUGUAAGCAAACACUCCGGACAUUAAUGUAUGUUUCCCACCAGCGUUCAGCUCGAGGGACAUCUCUGAAGCAGCACCGCAUCUAAUCUGGAGCCACACGAGGAGCUGGGCUUAUUGUUCUAACCCAGGUUGUUAAAAUCCCAGUGUUUCUGUGCAAACACGGCUGCAGUGCCGCCCUCUGCUAUAAAACCACGGCCGUAAGCCUCGCUUAAUGGAAGCACAAUAUUAGCGCAAGCUCAGCACCGGCUGCUUUUCAAUCUGAACAUUUUACACUAAGCGUUCUCACAGGGGCUGUUAGCUAAUAACGUGACCGUAUGAGGCUCUGUGCGCUCUCUUGUUGUUCAGUUCAGUCCUGAGACAGAGCUGAUCUCUGUACUGAUGAGUUCACACUCAAUACAACACAAAUCUGUCCCACAGCUUUGUUCCAGAAACAGAAACGUACAAAUCUGGCCGCUAUAGGUAGAAACACAGAGCUGCUGCAAAUCAACAGUGCAGCAUUACUGGGCCCGUCCCGAGAGAGCUGUUGGAGACGGGAGGGAGCGAUGCGAUUGGGAAGGAAGGGAAACGAGCCGCUCUGUCUCCAGGUCUGCGAGCCACGCAUGUACCGCAUGUACAACGAAACAACGGAGUGCACGAUUUCUUAAAAGCAGCACUUUUAUUAGCACUUCAUAACACGCAAAACAAAUGCAGAUUUUUGUGCUCAGAAGCUAGCAACUAAAAUGCAAAUAUUAGACAUAUAAUUGCAUCAUUUUUAUUUUCUUCCCAAAAAAGCAAACUGCAGGUUGUAUACUAUGCUUUUAAACUGGCC
ensembl:lncRNA